rnacentral:rRNA from 1 species
GACGAACGCUGGCGGCGUGCUUAACACAUGCAAGUCGAACGGAAAGGCCCUGCUUUUGUGGGGUGCUCGAUUGCCGAACGGGUGAGUAACACGUGUGUAACCUGCCCUUGACUUUGGGAUAACUUUAGGAAACUGGGGCUAAUACCGGAUAGGAGCUCCUGCUGCAUGGUGGGGGUUGGAAAGUUUCGGCGGUUGGGGAUGGACUCGCGGCUUACCAGCUUGUUGGUGGGGUAGUGGCUUACCAAGGCUUUGACGGGAAGCCGGCCUGGGAGGGUGACCGGCCCCAUUGGGCCUGGGGAACGGCCCGGACUCCUACGGGAGGAAGCGGUGGGAAAUUUUGCAAAAUGGGCGGAGGCCUGAUGCAGCAACGCCGCGUGGGGAAUGACGGCCUUCGGGUUGUAACCUGCUUUCGCCUGUGACGAAGCGUGAGGAAGGGAAAUGGGUAAAGAAGCACGGCCAAACUAGGG